ACAUCAACAACUGACCAAGCUACUGAAUCAGUACAUUAGUGAGCCAAAACACCACAAGCCCACAGAGUCUCACGGUAAAUAUUACUAUUGUAGUUAAGGAUGCUGAAUAUGAGGAUGAUAUUGGUGAUGAUAAUAAUGGCAAUGUAACAAGUGUUGAUUUGUUCACACAUCUUUGUAUCUUUCCUCACCAGCUUUGUAUUACUGGACACUGUUUUUUCCAACCCUGAGUGGAUCUGCCAUUCUGCUGAUAGCAGCCAUGUUGCCAGGCUAUGGGGGGAUAACCUGCGGUGUGCUCUUCCCCUGGCUGGCCAGAAGCAUCUUCACACAGCACCAUCGCAUGAUCACAUACCAAAGGUUACCUAACCCGAUCUACCUUGGAACCCUCAUAGCUGGCUUGUUCCAUUCCCUGCUCUGUUUCUAUGGACAAAUAAUGCCUAAUAUCCUUAACAAAUGUAGCAGGUUAAGUCUCAUGUCUAUGUAUAUUUGUGUACCAUCUGGCUUUGAUUGCCUUGCGAUCAGUAUGACAUGUUGGAUAGUCUGUCAGUUUAUCCUGUCAGCGCAGGAUGAUUCCUAACUAUUAUGAUGCCACAUCCAACCAACAGUGUGGUCUAUAACAAGGUAUUCUAAAAGUGAUGAUUUUGCAAAAUGACGUGUAAAUAGUCUCCAGAGCUUGAAUCCCUGUGUGUUUCAUUAUCCUCUGACCUUUCCUUUAGUUCCAUUAUUGAGCCACAUUUUCCACUUGUACUCAUUGAAUAUUUAAAGUGACAUUUGGUAAGCACUUUCAUGCUCAUGAAAGAACACAUUUGUAUUUUGGACACUCCACAAGCUUUCUUAUAGAUAUUACCAACAGGCUAGUGCUCUCCUAGUUGUCUUUCUAGCCCAAAUAUACACAUUAAGGCUAAUGUAAUCAAGUAUUUUGUAUAUUAAAAUGACAUGGGUUCAUCCUUAACCUUUUGAAUGUGUGUGGCCAACCAGUGAUCUGGUAAAUUUGUCAAUAGUGCAGUUCUCCCUAGUCCUUGGUUUGUUCUGUAAGAUUCUGACUCAGGACCCUGGGACACUGGACAAAGCAGAUGCAGAUCCUCGGUUCUCCUGUAUCGCUGACCUGGUGGAGGACAACCAGAGCCCUCACAGGUUCUGCCCAUACUGUGAGGUAAGACAUUCACACUGAACAUGGUUUAGAGAUCCAUGGAUUUCUGCAUACAUUGAUAAAUACCUACGUAUCUAGUUAUCAGUUCAUGUGUAACGAUUCAGAGCUGAACAGAGACUCAAACGCAGAGACAGACACAGGGCACUAGGUAAAGCUAAAAAAGCAAAGUCUUUACUGAGUCCCAAACAAGCAAACAAAUCCAGGCAGGGAGUAGGCAAAACUCCAAAAACCAGAGAACAAGGCUAAGCCAAAAUAAUUGUAGAGAGUGACACUAGGAUAUUGCUGGAAAGCGAUGAACUCACAAGGACAACAAAGACAAUCUGGCAGGGGAACAGGGAAACCAAGUAUAUAAACGGGGUUGGAAGACGGCAAAAUCAGGGGCAGGUGAGUAGUGAGAAUGUGGAUAAUCAAGGAUGCGGAAGACACACAAGGGCAGGAACUGAAACGACAGGAGAUGUUAGUCUUUCUAAAAUGAAACAGGAAACAGAAUAAGCACAGACAGAGGAAUGUUACAGAAAUGUACACAGCACUUCUCCAAUUGGUGUGUUCCUUCACAUGGUCUUACACUUCAAAAACUCUAAAAUCUCACAUUUCCUAAUGAAUUAAUGAGGUGACAAUAAAAUACAAUAAAUAUUUAUGGUGAUUAAGUCUCUGCCAUUUGAUUUUCAUCGCAUAGUGAAAUUAAAAAGCAGUAGAUGUAGAAAAGUAGGAUAUAAAACACAAAACCUGUGGCAUGCUUUUGAAAAGGCCGGUUAAGUAAAAGAUGCACAUGUUCUAGUUGAUGAGCUGCAUCAUGAUAAGUACGUUCUCUCCCCCCCGCCCUGUCUUUGCUCUCCUCAUAGUUGUUACUGCCCGACUACACUAAACACUGCAAGCUGUGCGACGUGUGCAUCAAAGACUAUGACCACCACUGCCUUUUCCUCAACCAGUGCAUCGGCCAGGGUAACCACCGCCUCU
ensembl:lncRNA